AUUGAACGCUGGCGGCAGGCCUAACACAUGCAAGUCGGACGGUAGCACAGGGGAGCUUGCUCUCCGGGUGACGAGUGGCGGACGGGUGAGUAAUGUCUGGGAAACUGCCCGGUGGAGGGGGAUAACUACUGGAAACGGUAGCUAAUACCGCAUAACGUCUUCGGACCAAAGUGGGGGAUCUUCGGACCUCACGCCACCGGAUGUGCCCAGAUGGGAUUAGCUAGUAGGUGGGGUAACGGCUCACCUAGGCGACGAUCCCUAGCUGGUCUGAGAGGAUGACCGGCCACACUGGAACUGAGAAACGGUCCAGACUCCUACGGGAGGCAGCAGUGGGGAAUAUUGCACAAUGGGCGCAAGCCUGAUGCAGCCAUGCCGCGUGUAUGAAGAAGGCCUUCGGGUUGUAAAGUACUUUCAGCGGGGAGGAAGGCGGUGAGGUUAAUAACCUCGCCGAUUGACGUUACCCGCAGAAGAAGCACCGGCUAACUCCGUGCCAGCCGCCGCGGUAAGAC
rnacentral:rRNA from 1 species